ACUCUAAAGCCUUUAUGCGGGGAGCGGCUUGAAAGAGCUGACUCUGGGAGCUGCCUUGAUUGAUUAUCAAGGGUCUGUUCGCAGACAUAGCUCUCUGUCCCGCCACCCCUCUGGAAUUUACUAUCCGAGUUAACUCCUAACAGACCAUUAGUGAGUCUUGAAUGCACACAAGGUGCAGAUAGAUUGCUUUGCCCGACUGCCCUUAAGAUAAGUAGGAUGCCUUUGGCGCCAUGAGAGAGCUCUGGUGAUUGUUAUCUUAAAGAUGAUGUACAUGGGGAAGAAUUUUCUUUGGGAUGCCUCUCUUC